rnacentral:rRNA from 1 species
CCUACGUGCGGCAGCAGUGGGGACUAUUGGACAAUGGGCGAAAGCCUGAUCCAGCCAUGCCGCGUGUGUGAAGAAGGCCUUCGGGUUGUAAAGCACUUUCAGUGGGGAAGAAAGCCUUAGGGCUAAUACCCUCGAGGAAGGACAUCACCCACAGAAGAAGCACCGGCUAACUCCGUGCCAGCAGCCGCGGUAAUACGGAGGGUGCGAGCGUUAAUCGGAAUUACUGGGCGUAAAGCGCGCGUAGGCGGUCUGAUAAGCCGGUUGUGAAAGCCCCGGGCUCAACCUGGGAACGGCAUCCGGAACUGUCAGGCUAGAGUGCAGGAGAGGAAGGUAGAAUUCCCGGUGUAGCGGUGAAAUGCGUAGAGAUCGGGAGGAAUACCAGUGGCGAAGGCGGCCUUCUGGACUGACACUGACGCUGAGGUGCGAAAGCGUGGGUAGCAAACAGGAUUAGAUACCCCUGUAGUC